rnacentral:tRNA from 1 species
GGGGAUUUAGCUCAGUGGUAGAGCGCUUGCCUAGCAAGUGCAAGGCCCUGGGUUCGAUCCUCAGCCUCG